UGGGGAAUAUUGGAUAAUGGGCGCAAGCCUGAUCCAGCCAUGCCGCGUGAGUGAUGAAGGCCCUAGGGUUGUAAAGCUCUUUCACCGGUGACGAUAAUGACGGUAACCGGAGAAGAAGCCCCGGCUAACUUCGUGCCAGCAGCCGCGGUAAUACGAAGGGGGCUAGCGUUGUUCGGAAUUACUGGGCGUAAAGCGCACGUAGGCGGAUAUUUAAGUCAGGGGUGAAAUCCCGGGGCUCAACCCCGGAACGGCCUUUGAUACUGGAUGUCUUGAGUCCGGAAGAGGUGAGUGGAAUUGCGAGUGUAGAGGUGAAAUUCGUAGAUAUUCGCAGGAACACCAGUGGCGAAGGCGGCUCACUGGUCCGGAACUGACGCUGAGGUGCGAAAGCGUGGGGAGCAAACAGGAUUAGAUACCCGUGGUAGUCCACGCCGUAAACGAUGGAAGCUAGCCGUUGGGCGAUUUAUCGCUCGGUGGCGCAGUUAACGCAUUAAGCUUCCCGCCUGGGGAGUACGGUCGCAAGAUUAAAACUCAAAGGAAUUGACGGGGUCAUA
rnacentral:rRNA from 1 species